CGGAGGGAUCAUUAAAGAGUUCUAUAACUCCCAAACCCAUGUGAACAUACCUAACGUUGCCUCGGCAGGUCGCACCUACCUUGUAGCACCCUACCCUGUAGGGCCUACCCGGGAGAUGCGGGUAAGCCUGCCGGCGGCCCACCAAACUCUGUUUAAUAUUGAAUUCUGAACAUAUAACUAAAUAAGUUAAAACUUUCAACAACGGAUCUCUUGGUUCUGGCAUCGAUGAAGAACGCAGCGAAAUGCGAUAAGUAAUGUGAAUUGCAGAAUUCAGUGAAUCAUCGAAUCUUUGAACGCAUAUUGCGCCCAUUAGUAUUCUAGUGGGCAGGACCGUUCGAGCGUCAUUUCGACCCUUAAGCCUUAGUUGCUUAGUGUUGGGAGCCUACGGCAACGUAGCUCCUCAAAGUUAGUGGCGGAGUUGGUUCACACUCUAGACGUAGUAAUUUUUUAUCUCGCCUAUUAGUUGGACUGAUCCCCUGCCGUAAAACCCCCAACUUAUCAAGGUUGACCUCGAAUCGGUUCAGACAAACUCGCUAAAUUGAAGCAUCUUAGUCAGCGAAGGAAAAGAAACCAACAGGGAUUGCCCUAGUAACGGCGAGUGAAGCGGCAACAGCUCAAAUUUGAAAUCUGGCCCUCGGGUCCGAGUUGU
rnacentral:rRNA from 1 species